rnacentral:rRNA from 1 species
UACGGGGGGGGCAAGCGUUGUUCGGAAUUACUGGGCGUAAAGGGCGCGUAGGCGGCCUACUAAGUCGGACGUGAAAGCCCCGGGCUCAACCUGGGAAUUGCGAUGGAGACUGCAAGGCUUGAAUCUGGCAGAGGGGGGUAGAAUUCCACGUGUAGCAGUGAAAUGCGUAGAGAUGUGGAGGAACACCGAUGGCGAAGGCAGCCCCCUGGGUCAAGAUUGACGCUCAUGAGCGAAAGCGUGGGGAGCAAACAGG